rnacentral:rRNA from 1 species
UUGGAGGGCAAGUCUGGUGCCAGCAGCCGCGGUAAUUCCAGCUCCAAUAGCGUAUAUUAAAGUUGUUGCGGUUAAAAAGCUCGUAGUUGAAUUUCGGGGUUAGUAGAUUGGUCAUGCCAUCGGUAUGCACUGGUCUCACUGAUUCCUCCUUCCUGAUGAGCCGUAAUGCCAUUAAUUUGGUGUUGCGGGGAAUUUGGACUGUUACUUUGAAAAAAUUAGAGUGUUUAAAGCAAGCUAAUGCUUGAAUACAUUAGCAUGGAAUAAUGAAAUAGGACGCUCGAUCCUGUUUUGUUGGUUUCUAGGAUUGACGUAAUGAUUAAUAGGGAUAGUUGGGGGCACUAGUAUUCAAUUGUCAGAGGUGAAAUUCUUGGAUUCAUUGAAGACUAACUACUGCGAAAGCAUUUGCCAAGGAUGUUUUCAUUAAUCAAGAACGAAAGUUAGGGGAUCGAAGGCGAUCAGAUACCGUCGUAGUCUUAACCAUAAACUAUGCCGACUAGGGAUCGGAUGAUGUUAAUUUUUUAAUGACUCAUUCGGCGCCUUACGGAAACCAAAGUGUUUGGGUUC